GGCGGGGUAGCUCAGUGGUAGAGCAGCGGACUCAUAAGCCGUUGGUCGGUGGUUCAAUCCCACUCUCCGCCACCA
rnacentral:tRNA from 1 species